CCGAAGGGAACACUGCAACUGUGAUCACUCAGAAAAACUUUGCCUAGGAAUGAAUGGAAUGAGUGAGGACUUCAGGUGUGGGGGAAGCAUCCCCCACACAUUCUCGUUUUCAAUCACAAGGCUGCAGGAAUCACACAGGAAAGCAGCUAGCGAGCAGAACAAAGGAAAAUGCCCUGGAGUCCAUGGUCACAAGAUAUCAAAGCCCUUGGCUGGCCACACCAAGGAAUCUUUUCUGGCAGCCGGAAGUGGACAAGUGUAACCUAACUUGGAGUAUAGAGGGAUGUGUGCUGGAGCUUCUGGGUGUGUCCUUAUAAAAGGACAUGAGGAGACAUUUUACUUCCUGUAUUUGGAGACAAUGAGGAGACAAUUUUGAUAAUUAGACUGGUAGUUAUCUUGGAGCCAUGAGGAAAUGGGUAUGAAGACAAGAAGAAAGAGAUGGAAUCUGAGUCCUUGGUGAUAGCUGACGCAGCAUGAACUUGCUGCCCCUGACCUUACAUGGAGUCAUGAACACGCCUAUUGCUUAAAUCUCUAAGGUAGAUAUUUCGUCACGUUUGAGAAAAGCAUACUAGUGUACUCACAUAACAACAGACCAACAGAGGCCAGGUGGGAUUGCCUAAAUGGAAACCCACCUAUAGCUAAAACCCCUUCCGCCUUUACCAACAGAUUCUAAAGACAUGCUGAAUGAA